GACGAACGCUGGCGGCGUGCUUAACGCAUGCAAGUCGAACGGAAAGGCCCUGCUUUUGUGGGGUGCUCGAGUGGCGAACGGGUGAGUAACACGUGAGUAACCUGCCCUUGACUUUGGGAUAACUUCAGGAAACUGGGGCUAAUACCGGAUAGGAGCUCCUGCUGCAUGGUGGGGGUUGGAAAGUUUCGGCGGUUGGGGAUGGACUCGCGGCUUAUCAGCUUGUUGGUGGGGUAGUGGCUUACCAAGGCUUUGACGGGUAGCCGGCCUGAGAGGGUGACCGGCCACAUUGGGACUGAGAUACGGCCCAGACUCCUACGGGAGGCAGCAGUGGGGAAUAUGGCACAAUGGGCGGAAGCCUGAUGCAGCAACGCCGCGUGCGGGAUGACGGCCUUCGGGUUGUAAACCGCUUUCGCCUGUGACGAAGCGGGAGUGACGGUAAUGGGUAAAGAAGCACCGGCUAACUACGUG
rnacentral:rRNA from 1 species